UAACACUAACUGGAGGACCGAACCGACUAAUGUUGAAAAAUUAGCGGAUGACCUGUGGCUGGGGGUGAAAGGCCAAUCAAACCGGGAGAUAGCUGGUUCUCCCCGAAAGCUAUUUAGGUAGCGCCUCGUGAAUUCAUCUCCGGGGGUAGAGCACUGUUUCGGCUAGGGGGCCAUCCCGGCUUACCAACCCGAUGCAAACUGCGAAUACCGGAGAAUGUUAUCACGGGAGACACACGGCGGGUGCUAACGUCCGUCGUGAAGAGGGAAACAACCCAGACCGCCAGCUAAGGUCCCAAAGUCAUGGUUAAGUGGGAAACGAUGUGGGAAGGCCCAGACAGCCAGGAUGUUGGCUUAGAAGCAGCCAUCAUUUAAAGAAAGCGUAAUAGCUCACUGGUCGAGUCGGCCUGCGCGGAAGAUGUAACGGGGCUAAACCAUGCACCGAAGCUGCGGCAGCGACACUGUGUGUUGUUGGGUAGGGGAGCGUUCUGUAAGCCUGUGAAGGUGUGUCGUGAGGCAUGCUGGAGGUAUCAGAAGUGCGAAUGCUGACAUAAGUAACGAUAAAGCGGGUGAAAAGCCCGCUCGCCGGAAGACCAAGGGUUCCUGUCCAACGUUAAUCGGGGCAGGGUGAGUCGACCCCUAAGGCGAGGCCGAAAGGCGUAGUCGAUGGGAAACGGGUUAAUAUUCCCGUACUUGGUGUUACUGCGAAGGGGGGACGGAGAAGGCUAUGUUGGCCGGGCGACGGUUGUCCCGGUUUAAGCGUGUAGGUGUGUGUUCCAGGUAAAUCCGGUUCACUUUAACACUGAGGCGUGACGACGAGGCACUACGGUGCUGAAGCAACAAAUGCCCUGCUUCCAGGAAAAGCCUCUAAGCAUCAGGUAACAUCAAAUCGUACCCCAAACCGACACAGGUGGUCAGGUAGAGAAUACCAAGGCGCUUGAGAGAACUCGGGUGAAGGAACUAGGCAAAAUGGUGCCGUAACUUCGGGAGAAGGCACGCUGACACGUAGGUGAAGUGAUUUACUCAUGGAGCUGAAGUCAGUCGAAGAUACCAGCUGGCUGCAACUGUUUAUUAAAAACACAGCACUGUGCAAACACGAAAGUGGACGUAUACGGUGUGACGCCUGCCCGGUGCCGGAAGGUUAAUUGAUGGGGUCAGCGCAAGCGAAGCUCCUGAUCGAAGCCCCGGUAAACGGCGGCCGUAACUAUAACGGUCCUAAGGUAGCGAAAUUCCUUGUCGGGUAAGUUCCGACCUGCACGAAUGGCGUAAUGAUGGCCAGGCUGUCUCCACCCGAGACUCAGUGAAAUUGAACUCGCUGUGAAGAUGCAGUGUACCCGCGGCAAGACGGAAAGACCCCGUGAACCUUUACUAUAGCUUGACACUGAACAUUGAGCCUUGAUGUGUAGGAUAGGUGGGAGGCUUUGAAGUGUGGACGCCAGUCUGCAUGGAGCCGACCUUGAAAUACCACCCUUUAAUGUUUGAUGUUCUAACGUGGACCCGUUACCCGGGUUGCGGACAGUGUCUGGUGGGUAGUUUGACUGGGGCGGUCUCCUCCUAAAGAGUAACGGAGGAGCACGAAGGUUGGCUAAUCCUGGUCGGACAUCAGGAGGUUAGUGCAAUGGCAUAAGCCAGCUUGACUGCGAGCGUGACGGCGCGAGCAGGUGCGAAAGCAGGUCAUAGUGAUCCGGUGGUUCUGAAUGGAAGGGCCAUCGCUCAACGGAUAAAAGGUACUCCGGGGAUAACAGGCUGAUACCGCCCAAGAGUUCAUAUCGACGGCGGUGUUUGGCACCUCGAUGUCGGCUCAUCACAUCCUGGGGCUGAAGUAGGUCCCAAGGGUAUGGCUGUUCGCCAUUUAAAGUGGUACGCGAGCUGGGUUUAGAACGUCGUGAGACAGUUCGGUCCCUAUCUGCCGUGGGCGCUGGAGAACUGAGGGGGGCUGCUCCUAGUACGAGAGGACCGGAGUGGACGCAUCACUGGUGUUCGGGUUGUCAUGCCAAUGGCACUGCCCGGUAGCUAAAUGCGGAAGAGAUAAGUGCUGAAAGCAUCUAAGCACGAAACUUGCCCCGAGAUGAGUUCUCCCUGAGACUUAAAGUCUCCUGAAGGAACGUUGAAGACGACGACGUUGAUAGGCCGGGUGUGUAAGCGCAGCGA
rnacentral:rRNA from 1 species